rnacentral:tRNA from 1 species
GGCUGGUUAGCUCUGUGGUUCGAGCUCGGUGCUAGCAACAAGGACCAACACCGAGGUCGCGGGUUCAAUUCCCGCUCGGUCC